rnacentral:lncRNA from 1 species
AACAAGUCACCGACAAGUCACCAACUGUACCUGUUAUAAUGAUCAUUCCCUCCCCACUCACGGGUGUCAUCUAGGCCAGGGUAAGGUCGAGAGAAACGCAGCAUAAAUAACCUUUCGCAAAAUAUCAUCCUGUGCACACCCGAUGUAUGCACCGAUAAUAUCCCACCAGGGUCUGAACUGCUCGUGAUAUCAAUGUUCCGCUAAGUGGCG